rnacentral:lncRNA from 1 species
AACUUUAUCAAGAACUUAAAAAUAUGACCAGGUAUGGUGGCUCAUGCCUGUAAUCCCAGCACUUUGGGAGGCCGAAAUGGGAGGAUCACUGGAGGUCAGGAGUUCGAAACCGGCCUGGCCAACAUGGUAAAACCCCAUUUCUACUAAAAAAAAAAAAAAGCAAAAAUAAAUAAAUAAAUAGCCGGGCCUGGUGGCCUGUGCCUGUAGUCCCAGCUGCUUGGGAGGCUGAGGUCUGAGAAUCAUUUGAACUUGGUAGGUGGAGGUUGCAGUGAGUUGAGAUCGCAUCACUGCACUCUAGGCUGGGCAAGAAUGAGACUCCGUCUCAAAAACAACCACAAUACAAAAAGAACUUAAAAAUAUUCAUAUCCUGGGGCCGGGCACGGUGGCUCACGCCUGUAAUCCCAGCACUUUGGGAGGCAGAGGUGGGUGGAUCACGAGGUCAAGAGAUGGAGACCAUCCUGGCCAACAUGGUGAAACCCCAUCUCUACUGAAAAUACAAAAAUUAGCUAAGCGUGGUUGCACGUGCCUGUAAUUCCAGCUACUCUGGAGGCUGAGGCAGGAGAAUCGCUUGAACCCAGGAGGUGGAAGUUGCAGUGAGCCGAGAUCACGCCACUGAACUCCAGCCUGGUGACAGAGUGAGACUCCGUCUCAAAAAAUAAUAAUAAUAAUAAUUCAUGUCCUUAAACCAUGAAUUCUACUUUCACAAAUUUGAGGAAAUAAAUAUGUCAUAAGUAGACACCUAUUGGGUACAUCUCAGGGCUACUGCUCCUACUCUUCUCCCUACCACCCCCACGUGAAGAAUCAUCCAGCCCAAAAUGUCAAGCUUCUUCUCUUUUUCUCCUCCAGUGCACGUGGAAACAGCAGAAAGCGUCCCAACACUCAUUUUGUGCAGUGAGUCUCCUAUCCUGACCACAGCGGAUUGGACCAGCUCCAGUAAGUCCCUGGUAAAGCUCCUGCUGCUCCAUCUCAGGAGAAUCCCGGAUCCUGAUCAGUGCCUCAAUAUUGCAGAACAGAGGGAGUGAGGGAAAUAUUUAAUUUCCAACUCUGAAGGUCUACCAUGGAGAAGAGAGGAGCAGAAGGAAGAACUUAAUACUGGUGGAGCACUUGGUAAAAUGAAAAUAAAUAUUCUUUUUUUUUUUUGAGAUGGAGUUUCACUCUUGUCUCCCAGGCUCGAGUGCAAUGGCACAAUCUCGGCUCACUGCAACCUCCGCCUCCUGGGUUCAAGUGAUUCUCCUGCCUCAGUCUCCUGAGUAGCUGGGAUUACAGGCGCCCACCAUCACACUCAGCUAAUUUUUGUAUUUUUAGAAGAGACGGGGUUUCACCACGUUGGCCAGGCUGCUCUUGAACUCCUAACCUCAGGUGAUUCACCCACCUCAGCCUCCCAAAGCGCUGGGAUUACAGAAAUGAGCCACUGCACCUGGCGAAAAUAAAUAUUCUUUAUGAACCACUUUAGACAGUUCCUGGCCCACAGUAAACAAUCUUCUUCUUUUUUUUGUUCUGAGAUGGAGUCUCGCUCUGUUGCCCAGGCAGGAGUGCAGUGGCACAAUCUUGGCUCAGUGCAACCUCCGCCUCUCAGGUUCAAGCAAUUUUCUUCCCUCAGCUUCCCUGGGAGCUGAGGAUUACAGGUGUGUGCUACCACACUUACUGAUUUUUUUGUUUUUUUGUUUUUUUUUGAGAUGGAGUCUUGCUCUGUCACCCAGGCUGGAGUGCAGU